AUAAUGAUACUUCAACUUAGUCCUAAGAAUCCUAUGGAGAGUUGCUCGCACAUUGUGGGAGAGGUUUAAAUCCUAUGA
rnacentral:ncRNA from 1 species